rnacentral:rRNA from 1 species
GAUGAACGCUAGCGGCAGGCCUAAUACAUGCAAGUCGGACGGGAUUGUGGAGCUUGCUUCACAUGAGAGUGGCGCACGGGUGCGUAACACGUAUGUAACCUACCCUUGUCAGGGGGAUAGCCUCUCGAAAGAGAGAUUAAGACCGCAUAACAUUGUUUUGUGGCAUCACAGAACAAUCAAAUAUUUAUAGGACAAGGAUGGGCAUGCGGAACAUUAGCUAGUUGGUAAGGUAACGGCUUACCAAGGCUACGAUGUUUAGGGGAUCUGAGAGGAUGGCCCCCCACACUGGUACUGAGACACGGACCAGACUCCUACGGGAGGCAGCAGUAAGGAAUAUUGGUCAAUGGGCGGAAGCCUGAACCAGCCAUGCCGCGUGCAGGAAGACGGCCCUACGGGUUGAAAACUGCUUUUACAGGGGAAUAAACCUCGGUACGUGUACCGAGCUGAAUGUACUCUGAGAAUAAGGAUCGGCUAACUCCGUGCCAGCCGCCGCAGUAA